UGGGGAAUAUUGCACAAUGGGCGCAAGCCUGAUGCAGCCAUGCCGCGUGUGUGAAGAAGGUCUUCGGAUUGUAAAGCACUUUAAGUUGGGAGGAAGGGCAUUAACCUAAUACGUUAGCGUUUUGACGUUACCGACAGAAUAAGCACCGGCUAACUCUGUGCCAGCAGCCGCGGUAAUACAGAGGGUGCAAGCGUUAAUCGGAAUUACUGGGCGUAAAGCGCGCGUAGGUGGUUUGUUAAGUUGGAUGUGAAAUCCCCGGGCUCAACCUGGGAACUGCAUUCAAAACUGACUGACUAGAGUAUGGUAGAGGGUGGUGGAAUUUCCUGUGUAGCGGUGAAAUGCGUAGAUAUAGGAAGGAACACCAGUGGCGAAGGCGACCACCUGGACUAAUACUGACACUGAGGUGCGAAAGCGUGGGGAGCAAACA
rnacentral:rRNA from 1 species